rnacentral:lncRNA from 1 species
UGGAUGAUCUGUUCAUUGAUGAAAAUCAUUAUAGCCCUGAUUAAGAGCAUCUUGAAUCUGUUGGAGAUAACUGAUGCUGGAGCCAAGCAGACAAAGACAGAGUUGUUCCUAAAGAAAGCCAAAACUAUCCAAAUCCCAUCUAAUAUAGAUGAAACCAACCAGUUUGUUACUUGCGUUAGGACUGGGGAGAGGAAUUACUUGAUGAGUUUUGAAGGUUCAAAAUCAGAAGUGUAUGCUGAUGACUAACUGAAUGAUAAACACUUUUAUUAAUUAAGGGACAGAACUCAAAAUCACUGCCAAAAUUUAAGUUUUUAAAAGCAGUUACAGAGAAUCAGGAUGCACAGCUGAGAAAUUAAAAUUAAUAUGGUUAAGGACAAAAACAACUGUUAUCAAGUUAUUUGCAAUUUAGUACAAUUGUCUGGAAAGGGGUUUGGUGUCUGCAGCUGCCUUGAGCAUAUCAAUUGUGACAUUAUAUGUGGAUAAAAUAUUCAUGAUUAAAGGCAAG